CUCUCUCACUCUCUAAGGCUCACUAUAGGAAAAUAUAACAUUAUGAAUAAAAAGUGUUGCUCACUUUUGAACUGCAAAGCAAAAUUUAGUAAAAGUAUACGCUGAUGCUUAUCAUCUAAGCAUGAUCCGUUACUUCAUGGGAGUUUGGUUUUCUUAAACGUUAAAAAAAAAGAUUAUCCUAGUCAUAGCUACAAUUGCUGAGAUAAAUCAAAGACACCAUUUCACUUCUUCGUAUUAUCAAAAUCCACAUGUUGUUGCCAAAAUAGACACGUGCUCAUUUUUCCAGGGGUCUUUUUAGGAGGGAAGUCCCUGCAAGACGUUAUCACUAAUUUGCUGCCAGUAAAUGUGUGGUACAAACCAGAAUUUCAGUUUGACCCUUGAUUUUAUAAUUUAAUACCAAUAUUACUUACAUUAUUAGUUUUACUGGUAAAUCAGGAGUAAGUUGUUGGAGUCCAGCUGUGACCCCAGGGCAAGAACUUUUUGCCUGCUGUCACCUUCUGACAGUUUAGGCUGUUAAUUACCUCCAUCAACUAGAACACAAGCACCUCUCUGUCUGCCAGCUGGCAGGCUGAGCUUCAGAAAUUGGCAGCUUGGGAAGAUCUAAAAAGCUGUAAAGGGGGCUGCUAUGUAAACAGUUUAUUGUACAAUAUUUGAUGACCACAGUAGGCCCGCAUCAGUAAUCAAAGGUAGGCUCCGCUAUUGGGCAUUGAUCGGUUAGCAAAGAAGAAAGUUUAAAAUAGCUUUUGUUUCUAUGUUUUUUAUCCGGCAGAGUGAAACUAAGGGUUUAGUUCUGGAGGCAUUAUGUUGGUGGCCGUGGGAGGAAGUCAGUCAAUCAUUUAGUUCUGCUGAGAUAAGCUUGGACCCAGUCGAAAGAAAGGAAGAGGAAACUUUGACUCAGACACAACACAGAGGAACACCAUGUGAAGACAUGGAGAGAAGACAGCCAUCACCAUGCCAAGGACUGAUGAGACAGCAGUUUUUUCUUGACUUUCAGAGAAACUGAACAGUGUGAAUCCACUCCCAAAAUAAGAAGAACCUUUAUUUGGUGAGCAGGCCACCGAAUUUUGUUGGCAUUUAUCAACCACGUCCCUGCUAGUGAAGGUGUCACAGCAUCACAAUCUGGGCUAUUGAGACUGAAACAUCUGCCACGUCAACCAACAGGACAGCACCUGUGUAGUGAGAGCUGAGGACAUCAGAAAGCAAGGGCACUCAUGUUAAAUCCUGACCCAACCCAGUGGCAAAUGGCAGAGAAGUCCCUCUAUCACUGGGCUACAUUCUGCUAUGGGUUGUGUCACUGGGGAGGAACAUGGAGCUUUGGGACUUCAGUGCCGGCCCAUUACUCCAGAAGAUGACAUUCUUUCUAGUUUACAAGACUUCAAGCAAACCUGCCCUUAUCUUGAUUGAGUACUUAUAAGAAUGUUUGCUUCAUGAAGGCAGGAAUUUUAUGCCUUUUUCACUUCCAUAUUUCUAGCCCCUAAAUAGUAAAAUAGUAGGCUCAAGAUAGAUACUUGUUGAAUGCGGUUUAAUUAUGAAAAUGCCUGAUUUUCCUACUGAGAUGAGUGACAACCACUUUCAGG
rnacentral:lncRNA from 1 species